CAACGCGCAUGCUCCCUGUGCGGCGCCCCCGACUCGCCACUCGGCUCCGCUCGGGCAUUUCCGCCUCUUUGUUUUAAACUCCGGACGGGUUUUUUUCUCCUGCUCUUGGGGGGGACCCGGAGGGAGCGGCGCCCCCCCCCCGCUCCCGGCGCUGCCCCCGCGUGCGCCCCGCUCGCCCGCAGCCGAGACGGCAGGCUUCAAGAUGUAGCGGAGGGCUCCGGGCUGCCGUGUACAGAAGAUGGACAGAGAGCAAGGGACGGAGGGGAGGCACGGAAGCGAAGACCCGCAGGGCAGAGUGAGGCCGCUGGCGAGGUGCCCCAGUGUCAGAGCAGCGGCCUGAGCGCCCAAUGCGAGGGCAGGAGGAGGGGGCCGAAGACGUCUAGAGGAGAAGCCAAAGAUGUUGACCAGAAAGAUUAAACUCUGGGACAUAAAUGCCCACAUCACCUGCCGCCUGUGCAGUGGAUAUCUCAUCGACGCGACCACGGUGACCGAGUGUCUGCAUACGUUCUGUCGGAGCUGCCUGGUCAAGUAUUUGGAGGAGAACAACACCUGCCCCACGUGUAGGAUCGUGAUCCACCAGAGCCACCCGCUGCAGUACAUUGGUCAUGACAGAACCAUGCAGGACAUUGUUUACAAACUGGUUCCAGGCCUUCAGGAAGCGGAAAUGAGAAAACAGAGGGAAUUCUACCACAAGUUAGGCAUGGAAGUGCCUGGAGACAUCAAGGGGGAGACCUGUUCUGCAAAACAGCACCUAGAUCCCCAUCGGAACGGUGAAACCAAAGCAGAUGACAGUUCGAACAAAGAGGCCGCGGAGGAGAAGCAGGAGGAGGACAACGACUACCACAGGAGCGAUGAGCAGGUGAGCAUCUGUCUGGAGUGCAACAGCAGCAAACUGCGGGGCUUGAAGCGAAAGUGGAUCCGCUGCUCGGCCCAAGCGACCGUCCUGCACCUGAAGAAGUUCAUCGCCAAAAAACUUAACCUUUCGUCUUUCAACGAGGGCAGCGAAGCAGCUCCGUGUGGCGCCAGGGUGGUGGGCGCCUGCCAUCAUGCGCUCGUCCAGACCCACGGGACGUGCACCACCAAGGGUGACCCUGCUGUGGACUCGGGGUGAUGACGCCACGGCGCACUCCAGCAGGUGCACCACCCGGUGGGGUUGUGGAUCGCGGGGGAGGCUGUGGGGGGGCAGGGGGCGUGGGACAUCCCCGUGCCUCCCUCAUGUUUGCUGUGAGCCUAGAUCUGCUCUCAGAAUAGUCUUUUUUAAAAAAGAAAGGAGAAAGACCAUCUGAAGAGUCCAUUACCUUUCUCCACUGAGGUAAGAGGAACAAGCUUGGCCAAGAGGUGGACUGAGGUGGAGAGACAGGUGCUCUGGGGUGACAACAGCUGAGCGCGCCCCCUGGGGGCCGUGUGGUGGGUGUGGACCCAAGCCCCAAGUGCUCUUGGACCUGGGAUAGGUUGGGGUGGGGCCUCCCGAGUGCUCCCCACCUGUGCCACCUGGAAACGGGGCCCGUCGGCCACAGGCGACUGACUUGUGUGACCCGACCGGCAUCGCUGGCGCAGCCCGGAGGCCACGUGUGCUGAGCGCCGUGCCCAAGGCACCCUGACUGAAGCCUUCUUCUCCCGCCAGCUGGACAUUUUAUGCAACGAGGAAAUCCUGGGCAAGGACCACACGCUCAAAUUUGUGGUUGUCACGAGGUGGAGAUUCAAGAAGGCGCCUCUCCUGCUGCACUACAGACCCAAGAUGGACUUGCUCUGAGCUCGGCCCUGGGCCGGCCCCGCCGCGCCCGGGCUGUGGCCGCCCUGCAGGUGUCGUGGGGACCAGAUUUCUGAACAGAGUAUUUAUAACUUUUGUAUGAGAGAACUCACACUCACCAAGACACUACCAGCACCGCGGUCACGAGACGACGAAACACUUUACUGCACAGUCUUAAUGGCCGAAGAGGCGCCUCUCACAGACUGGAUGGUAAACACAGUGGCCACGCGACCUUCGCUUGCUUUCCAGGCCUUGGAAAUCUGGUCAUUUCAGUUUAGUUGAUGAAUUAGGGUUCACGAUAAGCCUCGAAAAUACUUGUAUGUUUAUUGAACCCUUCCUAAGUUAUUGAGAAAAUAUCUUUUCAUGGUGAAUGACGCUAUUUAUGUUGCCUUUAGCUUCCUGAAGACUUAGAAGGUAUAUAAAGGUUUAAUUUAAAAGCAUACCAAAAGGGGUUUCCAUUAAUGAGUUAGCCACGGUAUUUAAUUUCCACAUUAGGAAACGGGAAAAGCUGACGGCGCCUCUGCCUCGCCUGGCGCUCCGGGCUCCGAGGGCCACGCGGCCCCGAGGCGAGGAAGGGCUCCCACCGGCCCCCGGACGCCCCCAGACGCGGGUGCGGCGCACUCAGCAGGGCGGGGUGGCUAGGCCGGCCGCACGCUGCCUGGUGGAGCCGCCCUUGUUCUCAAACAUCACUGGUGCGCGUCGGGUUCCGAGGGCUGAGGGCCCCACUCAAUUCUUCCUAUCUGCAUCUUGCUGAAGGGAGGGGUGGUGGCUCGGGGGGGCGUUCCCGUCGGAUGAGGGCCGGUGCCCCAGGCGUGCCGGCUCCGGUCCCCACCACGUCCACCCUUGGAAAGCUGUCCCCCGCCCCUGCUUGUGCACAAAGCUGGCACUCUGUUGCUGUUCCCAGCCGAGCCUGGGAGGAGCCUGCUGGCUGCUUUUUCAGUGACUUAAUGUUCUCAAGUGCCGGUCACAGGCAGCACACAUUUUGUCAACCCCUUUCUCCUCCCAAAUGUUAAUAUUUUUGUGGAAUUAGAGAAUCAAUAUUUGUUCCUUGAAAAUAGUAACUUGGAACACGUAAAGCAAGAAGGAGAAAGCAACCAUUUUCCGGGGCAGUGAAAGUGUUGUCCUGGGUUCUGUGUCUGUCCUUGUCCUCUGCCCACCGCCCCCCCCCCCCCCCCACCGUGCUUCCUCAGUGAGCUUUGGGUUCCUGCCCCACCCCCACCCCCCGCCGUCACCUCCGCUCACCCUGCAGUCAGGCUGGGGGCCCUGGGUCCAUCAGCCCCCGUCCACCACCUUCGUUCAUGGACUGUUUCACCUUACCAGAAUUUUUUUCUCCAUUUGCUUUGAAAGUUACGGUUGGGUUUCUUCUGCUUCCCAUUUCGUACAGGUAAACGUCAGGAGCAGCUACUUACGAGACCUGAUCUGGGUGACGAGAAAAUCAUCCCAAUUAACUCAGUCCAAGGGAUUCUAAUGUAAGGCCUUUUACAAACAUAGAAACAGAUUGUUAGGGAUUGGUCAAAAUUCACGUCUUCAUUUAAGCCCAUGGACUCCCAGUACUGUUCGAAUUGUUCAGUUACCUAAGCUUGCUACUCAUCCAAAUCAUGUUUUAGAGUUGCUCUACUAGGUUUAAUGAGUAGAUGUGUAUGAGUAAAUAUUACCUGUCUACCUCAAAAUACACAUCACUGCUGAAGCACUCUGCACAACCAUACAUUACCACAGUGCGGUUUUAGGGUUAGCGUUAGAACUUGGGUAUUUGCCUGUGUAGUGGAGGGGGGGUUAGGGUGAAACAGUGUAAGCACCCAAAUUCAAACAGAAUCGGCUCACGGUUCAGAUUAGACUGAGUAUCGCCGUAAUCCUCUCAUAAUAUAUAUUUGUAACUUUGUAGCUAUCUUUGAAAUCACUUGAAUUUGCUAUGGUGCUAAGUGGACGUACUUAAAUACACAGAGAGGUGGAGGUGGUCGGAGCCAGUGCUGACAUGGCCGGCAGGCUGCUGGCCCUCCUGUGACCCCUUUUGUGAUCGUGUCAACCUGACGCAACCUCAGCAGCAGAAGUACCUAUUUUUCUAAGAUUUCCUCGUGCAGACUGUCUUCGCUACAGGACGGCCCCGGGGACCCCGCCCCUCAGCUGACAGGAGCCCAGAGCCUGCGUCCCAGGGCAGCUUCCGUGGCCCCUUCCCCGCUGUCACGCUUUCGUGUCACAUCAAAAGGCUGAAUUUAAUUUCUUCCAGCAUGAAAGCCAGGAUCAGUUAGUGAUUGGAUCCUACGAAGUUUUUUUUUUUUUUAAAAGAUGGAGUUACUGUGAAGUAGUUUUCACGACCGUUUAUGCUGGUAAAGCAAGAGCUGUUCAGUUACCUUCCCGCGUCACUGUCCGCGGCAGCGGGACUCCCUGCCCAGCGCGUGGUCUCGCUAAAUGCAGUUUUCAUGAAAAUAGAAAAUUCAGAUAGAAUAUAUAAAUAUUGAAUUUAAGAUUUGGGGGGUUAAAAAAAAAAGAAAACUUAACUUUAUAAAAUUAUUUAUUCUAUUUUAAGCCUUCUAUCAUAUUUUCCCAUCCGAUUGUUUGGUUUCCGUGGUCCAGCUUUAUUUACAGGCAUAUAAAAUGAAAUUGUGACAUGUUUUGCAAGCUUCUUCUUUUACUUUGAGUAGCUUUUAAUUUGUACGUUUUGUUUUAUAUAGAUACAGAGCACUGUUUAUGCUUUUGUGCAAUAGGUCCCAAGAUGCAUUUACUAGACAUCUGUUUAAAUUUAAUGCCGCAUCUCUUCUGCUCGAUUGAAAGGGAAUGUAGGUAGAAUUUCAAAAUAUGUACAUUCAGCUAUUUGGUUUCUCCUUUUCACUGUUGUUACGAGAGUGCUGUUUUGGGGGAUGGUGUGCGUGUGUGUGUGUGUGUGUGUGUGUGCGCAAGAACACCUGCCAGCAGUAUCGUAGGGCACGAGACCCAGCGGGCCGCCGUGGAGCGACACGUGGCCGUCCCGGACCGGCCUCGCGGCCACCCUGGGUCCCCUAUUUUCAGACCCCGUGUGUGGCCCUUGGGUGCCCUGCCCCACGCCGACCAGACCACGGAUGUGUGGGUGCUACUUCCACAGGGGCUCCCGAGCCCUCCAGGGCGUGUGGCCUCUGAUGCCUCCCUGUGGCGAAGUCUUUAGAAAUCCAUUUCGUUUCUUCCUCAAAGUGCACAGGAUGGCAUUUUACAGCAGUUUAAAACGUGUCAUUGGGCUGAAUGUUCCAGAAACGAGUCAGCUGAUUUCUACUUUACAUGCGAGUGUUAGAUGUGCUCUUAAGACACUGAAAAUAAACUUAGCUCAGAACAAAUCCUGUUUCUGUUUCCUCAGGAAAUCAUUUACGCUCCAUCAUGUGUGACCUUAGCGCCAUAAGCCAAGUGUCUCUCUGCCUUGGGAUUUAAACCAACUACGUAGGUCAAGAUCAGUAGAUUAGAAAACCGUGAUUCAAACCAGCCGUCAUCUUGACACAUUCUGUCCCUGCGAGGCAGGGACAGGUGUGGCGCGGCUGUAGCCGCCCGGGCCAUCAAGGAGGCUCUGUUUGUGCGAAUGCCCGCCCACGCUUGGCCUGCAUCACGUGGGGUUCGCCACGUCCACGAGCGCAUCUGAAGGAGGGACUGUGGUUUGAGUGUCCCCUAAAACGUGUGUAGCGUUAGUGUAAAUGUCUGUUCCAACAACUUAAUUGAGUAUAAGAAAACCAUUUUUCCCCAAAUGAUGUAGGGUUCAGGGGUGUGAGCCGCCACUAACCUGACCGUCACACGUGGCAACAUGGAAGCUGUCGCGGUUUGUUGAGAUGAAAAUGCAGAUACAUAUUUUUGACUGUUUAAUUUGAAAGUUUACAUUUUUUAUGCUUUGUGUUGGUGUGUAAUUUUUGUACUAUUGGUGGCUAGUUUUUGUCUAAAAUCUUUUUUGGAAUAUUGCUUAAACGUUUUGAUUUUAUGAUAGUGAAGCUUGUACUCAGUGUUUUGCCAAUUAAUAUUAUAUGCUUGUAAUAAAAGCAAAAGAAAAACAUA